rnacentral:rRNA from 1 species
GGAUUAGAUACCCUGGUAGUCCACACAGUAAACGAUGAUUACUAAAUGUCUGGAUUUAAUCUGGGUGUUAAAGCUAACGCGUUAAGUAAUCCGCCUGGGGAAUACGGUCGCAAGACUAAAACUUAAAGGAAUUGACGGGGACCCGCACAAGCAGUGGAACAUGUGGUUUAAUUCGUAAGUACACGAAGAACCUUACCAACUCUUGACAUCCUGAUCGCGGAUAUAGAGAUAUAUCCUUCAGUUCGGCUGGAUCAGUGACAGGUGAUGCAUGGCCGUCGUCAGCUCGUGCCG